rnacentral:rRNA from 1 species
UACGUAGGGUGCAAGCGUUAAUCGGAAUUACUGGGCGUAAAGCGUGCGCAGGCGGUCAUGUAAGACAGAUGUGAAAUGCCCGGGCUUAACCUGGGAACUGCAUUUGUGACUGCAUGGCUAGAGUUUGGCAGAGGGGGGUAGAAUUCCACGUGUAGCAGUGAAAUGCGUAGAUAUGUGGAGGAACACCGAUGGCGAAGGCAGCCCCCUGGGUCAAGACUGACGCUCAUGCACGAAAGCGUGGGGAGCAAACAGG